CCAAGCGUUCAUAGCGACGUUGC
rnacentral:ncRNA from 2 species